rnacentral:rRNA from 1 species
UACAGAGACUGCGAGCGUUAUUCGGAUUCACUGGGCGUAAAGGGUGCGCAGGCGGCCGUGUGUGUGAGGCGUGAAAGCCCGGGGCUUAACCCCGGAAUUGCACCUCAAACUACACGGCUAGAGCAUUGGAGAGGGUAGCGGAAUUCACGGUGUAGCAGUGAAAUGCGUAGAUAUUGUGAGGAACACCAGAGGCGAAGGCGGCUACCUGGACAAUUGCUGACGCUCAGGCACGAAAGCGUGGGGAGCAAAAGGG